rnacentral:rRNA from 1 species
CGUGUAGGCGGCCAGGUGGGUCUGCUGUGAAAACUCGAGGCUUAACCUCGAGAUGUCGGCGGAAACCAUCUGGCUAGAGUCCGGAAGAGGAGAAUGGAAUUCCCGGUGUAGCGGUGAAAUGCGCAGAUAUCGGGAAAAACACCCGUGGCGAAGGCGGUUCUCUGGGACGGUACUGACGCUGAGACGCGAAAGCGUGGGGAGCGAACA